rnacentral:rRNA from 1 species
AUUGAACGCUGGCGGCAGGCCUAACACAUGCAAGUCGAGCGGCUGCAGGGAGCUUGCUCCUGGAUUCAGCGGCGGACGGGCGAGUGAUGCAUAGGAAUCUGCCUGGCUGUGGGGGCUAACGUCCGGACACGGGCGCUAAUACCGCAUACGUCCUGAGGGCGUACGUGGGGGAUCUUCGGACCUCACGCCAUCAGAUGAGCCUAGGUCGGAUUAGCUAGUUGGUGGGGUAAAGGCCUACCAAGGCGACGAUCCGUAGCUGGUCUGAGAGGAUGAUCAGUCACACUGGAACUGAGACACGGUCCAGACUCCUACGGGAGGCAGCAGUGGGGAAUAUUGGACAAUGGGCGAAAGCCUGAUCCAGCCAUGCCGCGUGUGUGAAGAAGGUCUUCGGAUUGUAAAGCACUUUUGUUUGGGAGGAAGAGCAGUAAGUUAAUACCUUGCUGUUUUGACGUUACCAACAGAAUAAGCACCGGCUAACUUCGUG